GCCGCACCACAGAGCCCUCGGCCGAGCGGCCGCUAGCACCGGCCCGCCUCGGGACCGUCACGGCGCCGCGACCCCGCGGGAGACGGCCUCCCGGCGUCCGACCGCUCGGGACGUCUCCCCCUCGUCCCUCCUCGUCCCAACGCGCCCGAGCCCGCCCCCGGUCCCACGGCCCGGCCGAGCUACCUGGAUCCGCUUCUUGUGUCGCCUGCGUUCCGCCAUGUUGGCCGCUCCGCCCGGUUCCUUCUGACGUGGAGCGAGCCGGGGAGGGGGGCGGCUGAGAUCUCGCGAGAGCGCGGCGGCUCGCGGCCCGUUAUGUAACCCGCCGCGGGCUCUGGGUUGGGGGCGGCCUCCGUGGUCUUCGCGCCGUCCGUGCGGUGGCGGACGACGGGGGCUGCGUCCGCGUCCGCGUCUGCGUCUGCGUCUGGUUCCCCGGAGGCCGGCGCCGAGUGAGUCAGAGCGCCGGAGGCUGGGAAGACGCGUCGGUUCUCAGCCCUGACUGAACGCCCGAGUCACCUGGCUGCCGUGUAAACACGGAUCCCCGGGCCCCACCCCUCGGAGGCGCCGACGCCGCCGCGACCACCGGGGCCCACAGCGUCACCUGUGGCGCGUCCUGCCCCCACGAGCCCCGUGGCACCCCACUUCAAUCUCGCGCAGUUCCCCUUAAAUGAUGGAAAACGGCUUCAGAGUCUGACUCCAUUAAGGAGUGGGGAGGGUUACACAGCUCGUCCCCAAAGGCUCGGAAUGUCCACUCAUCACGUGACUCCUCACACCCCAAUCCUUAGAAUUCAGAAGUCUGCAGGAGCCCAGGGAAGUUAAGAUGGAAAGGAGCAAGACUGGUUGGGAUGCAGGGGACUGCAGGCCACUUCGAUAUGACUAUUAUUCCAGCACUUUCUAGACCAAAGACACGGGUCGUUAAGUGCUUAGGUACAAGUUCUGAUGACAUUGUAGCUGUAGAAAGUGGGAAAAAUGCAGAAAAGAUAAAACCAAUGAAGUUUAAUUCUAUCCCUCG
rnacentral:lncRNA from 1 species